CGGCGAGUGAAGCGGCAACAGCUCAAAUUUGAAAUCUGGCUCUCUCUGGGUCCGAGUUGUAAUUUGUAGAGGGUGCUUUGGCGUUGGUUGUGGUCUAAGUUCCUUGGAACAGGAUGUCACAGAGGGUGAGAAUCCCGUAUGUGGCCGCCAGCCUCCGCCGUGUAAAGCCCCUUCGAUGAGUCGAGUUGUUUGGGAAUGCAGCUCUAAAUGGGAGGUAAAUUUCUUCUAAAGCUAAAUAUCUGCCAGAGACCGAUAGCGCACAAGUAGAGUGAUCGAAAGAUGAAAAGCACUUUGGAAAGAGAGUCAAACAGCACGUGAAAUUGUUGAAAGGGAAGCGCUUGCAGCUAGACGUGCCUUGGGUUGUUCAGCCGGCCUUUUGCCCGGUGCACUCUUCCGCGGGCAGGCCAGCAUCAGUUUGGGGGGCCGGACAAAGGUCUGUUAAACGUGACUUUCUUCGGGGAGAGUUAUAGGGCGGGCGACAUGCGGCCAGCCCGGACCGAGGUCCGCGCAUCUGCUAGGAUGCUGGCGUAAUAGCUGUAAGCGGCCCGUCUUGAAACACGGACCAAGGAGUCUAACAUCUAUGCGAGUGUUUGGGUGUCAAGCCCGAGCGCGUAAUGAAAGUGAACGGAGGUGGGAACCCUCAAGGGUGCACCAUCGACCGAUCCUGAUGUCUUCGGAUGGAUUUGAGUAAGAGCAUAGCUGUUGGGACCCGAAAGAUGGUGAACUAUGCCUGAAUAGGGUGAAGCCAGAGGAAACUCUGGUGGAGGCUCGCAGCGGUUCUGACGUGCAAAUCGAUCGUCAAAUUUGGGCAUAGGGGCGAAAGACUAAUCGAAC
rnacentral:rRNA from 2 species